CAUAUUACUCCUGCGUUAAAUUCUUCGGCUUAACCGGGGGCAUGCCUGGGAAACGGUACCACUUGAGGAUGCAAAGGGUCUGUGGAACUCAGAUUGAAUCGGUGAAAUGCGUUGAUAUUAUAGGAAACACCGAAAGCAAAGGCAGCAUACUGGGGCACUCCUGACACUGAAACACAAAAGCGUGGGUAGCAAAUGGGAUUAAAUACCCCAUUAUUCCACCCCCUAAACGAUCUUCUCUAGCUAUUUCGAGUAUCGACCCUCCCAUUGCCGUACCUAACCCGUUAAUAGAACCGCCGGGGUAGUACGGCCGCAAGGCUAAAACUCAAAGGAAUAAACGGGGACUCGCACAAGCAGAGGAUCAUGUGGUUCAAUUCAAUGGUAAACGAAAAACCUUACCAGGGUUAGAAAUGCAGCUGAAGACUAGCAGAAACGUUUGUCGCCGCACGGCAGCUGCACAGGUGCUGCAUGGUCGUCGUCACUUCGUGGUUUGAAUUGUUCCCUUCACUGCGGUAACGAACGCAACCCUCAUUGCCUGUUACGACUGUCACGCCAGACUGCACAGCCUUUUAAACACGAUCCCAGUUAAACCCGACAUUGCGAGC
rnacentral:rRNA from 1 species